GGAAGUGCCAUAGCUCAGUGGCAAAGGAUCUGCUCUGCCUACAGAAGGGCCCAGGUUCCAUCCUUGGCACCUCUA